AUUGAACGCUGGCGGCAGGCUUAACACAUGCAAGUCGAGCGGGGGAAGGUAGCUUGCUACUGGACCUAGCGGCGGACGGGUGAGUAAUGCUUAGGAAUCUGCCUAUUAGUGGGGGACAACAUCUCGAAAGGGAUGCUAAUACCGCAUACGUCCUACGGGAGAAAGCAGGGGAUCUUCGGACCUGGCGCUAAUAGAUGAGCCUAAGUCGGAUUAGCUAGUUGGUGGGGUAAAGGCCUACCAAGGCGACGACCUGUAGCGGGUCUGAGAGGAUGAUCCGCCACACUGGGACUGAGACACGGCCCAGACUCCUACGGGAGGCAGCAGUGGGGAAUAUUGGACAAUGGGGGGAACCCUGAUCCAGCCAUGCCGCGUGUGUGAAGAAGGCCUUAUGGUUGUAAAGCACUUUAAGCGAGGAGGAGGCUACUUUAGUUAAUACCUAGAGAUAGUGGACGUUACUCGCAGAAUAAGCACCGGCUAACUCUGUGCCAGCCGCCGCAGUAA
rnacentral:rRNA from 1 species